CACGUAGGGUGCGAGCGUUGUCCGGAAUUAUUGGGCGUAAAGAGCUCGUAGGCGGUGUGUCGCGUCGGCCGUGAAAACCUGCAGCUUAACUGUGGGCGUGCGGUCGAUACGGGCAUCACUGGAGUUCGGCAGGGGAGACUGGAAUUCCUGGUGUAGCGGUGAAAUGCGCAGAUAUCAGGAGGAACACCGGUGGCGAAGGCGGGGUCUCUGGGCCGAUACUGACGCUGGAGACGGCGAAAGCGUGGGUAGCAAACAGG
rnacentral:rRNA from 1 species